GAGGGUAUAGCUCAGUGGUAGAGUGCGUGAUUAGCAAACACAAGGUCCUGGGUUCAAUCCCCAGCACCUCCG
rnacentral:tRNA from 1 species